rnacentral:rRNA from 1 species
AGUUAGGAUGAUACCCUAUUAUAAAAAAUUUAAAUUAAACUACUAAAAUAGUAAAUAGAUUAUUAUUGAAACUUAAAUAAUUUGGCGGUAUUUUAGUUCAUUUAGAGGAAUCUGUUUAUUAAUUGAUAAUCCACGAGUAAAUUUACUUAAUUUAUAAUUUUGUAUAUCAUUGUUAAAAAAAUAUUUUUUAGUAAAAAUAAUAUUUAAAAAUUUAAAUAUUGAAAUUAAUUCAGAUCAAGAUGCAGAGUAUAAUUAAGAAUAUGAUGGAUUACAAUAAAUAUAUUUAAAUGAAUAAUUUUAUUGAAAAAUAAAUUUGAAGGUGGAUUUAAAUGUAAUUUUAUUUAAUUAAUAGAAAGGAUAU